UACGAAGGGGGCUAGCGUUGCUCGGAAUCACUUGGCGUAAAGCGCGCGCAGGCGGUCUUCCAAGUCAGUGGUGAAAGCCCGGAGCUCAACUCCGGAACUGCCAUUGAAACUGUAAGACUUGAGGAUGAGAGAGGUGAGUGGAAUUCCCAGUGUAGAGGUGAAAUUCGUAGAUAUUGGGAAGAACACCGGUGGCGAAGGCGGCUCACUGGCUCAUAUCUGACGCUCAGGCGCGACAGCGUGGGGAACAAACAGG
rnacentral:rRNA from 1 species